rnacentral:lncRNA from 1 species
UGCUCUUACCCGGGCCUGCAACCUCAUCAGUUGCAAUGUUUAUGGCUGUUGCAAUCUGGGGUUCCUCCACUGGGACCGUUUUGCCAUUGUACUCCAAGUAGAGCUCUAGCCCUUGCCUUGCAUGGUUCUGCAACCUGAUUAUAAGAGGUACCCUGGUGCAAAUGCCCUGGCUACGAGGAAGGUUAACACCAGCCAAGGAUUCAAGAACACUAGACUUGCCUGAUGACUGGUCUCCAACCACAACAAUUGUGGGGAGCUGUAUGCCUUCUUUCAUCACCAUGAGCAGCCUGAGCCUGUCGAUGACAUCAAGCAAAGGUCGGAUUUUGUCAUUGUAUGAUGAAAUAAUUGGGGCUUGGGCUGCUGCUGCUCCCACCACCUUAGGUUCUUCCAUAGGAGGAGUUGCUGGUUGAGAAUCUUCAUAAUCAUUGAUGACACCAAUGCUCCCUGAAUCAGCUUCAUCAUAGCUACCCAUUUUUUAGAAGUCGAGACAGGAUGGGAAUUGGCCAAACUUGAUGUUUUAGAUGGUUUUUUUUGUUGGAAGUUGGAAAGCAAUAAACUUGAACUAAAGUGAAGACAAAUUCAAUGAAGCAUGUUUGGCUUUAUAAUGAAAAUUAAAAUAGGGUAAAGCACCGAAAUUAGGAACAAUAAAGCGAUAGCAUCCUAUACCAAACCCCAAGAAACAAGCAAACGAAGCUACAAUGGGAAUGGAAAACUUUAUGUUAUACUUUGAAUUGUAGAAAAUAAUGAUACAAGGACAGAAGAGAGGAAACAGAACAAAAUCAAAUCGUGACCAACCAAAAGAUGAGUGUGUCGAUGACAGAAAGUUCGAAACAUAAACAGCCCCACAAGUUCCUACAGGAACUAGACAGCAGAACUAUAUGAAACAAUGUAUUCACAUUGAAGUUUCGGAUAGAUGCCACGUACAAGCCAUGUUGCCAUUACCUCAUAUGCUCUUUGUGUCAAAUGAGCUCCAUCCCAACUAAGCUGUUCAUUAGGGUUUUCGCAUACCGGUACUUUUGGAUCUCCGCACCAACUUGAUAAGCCAGAAUUGUAGUCUUCCCCAAUUCCGCAGCAAGCUUUUUGCAAUGAUGUUGGAUCAAAACCAGAUGAGAUUUUUCGAAAACUCAGAACAUGACUAGAACCAUUCACAGUACGAUCACAUAAACUUAUGGAUGCAAAUAAAUCAGACUUACCAAGCAGAUCAGCUUUGCUCAAAAGCCACAGGAAUGCAUUGUAGUAGUCACCGUAGACAACGAUUACAUCUGGAUGUUUUUCUUUUAGCUGAUCAGCAAUAGCUUGUUGAAGAAGAUGAUUAUGAUAGAUUGAAAAAAAGGCUUGACUUCGUCCCUUUCGUAUACCUACUCUAAGACAAAAAAAAAAUCAUUUUAUUAAUUAAGCUUUUUGUUUAUUAAUAAUUUGUUUUUUUUUCAAAUUCAUUAAAUACAAUUAAAAACAUUUGGAAGAAAAAUCUAAUGGUAGACUAGAUAUAGUUAAGAUAAUAUCUAACAGAGAGAUCGAUGUUCGAGUAUUUGUUGAAGUUCCUACGUAACUUUUAAUAAUUUUACAAACGGAUAGAGAUAAUAGUUUAUUCGAACAUUUAUUUUUAAUAGAGUGAAGAAACCCAAUUAUUUAAUUUAUGGGUAAACUACAUAAAGGGUAACACAAGUAUAAAAAGUUACAAAAUGUUCAUCUAACUAUUCAAUAUUGUUUUUUUAGAUCACCCGGCUAACGGUGGCUACUUUUAAAAUUUGAAUAAUAGAAAUUUAACCCUCAACACUUAUAUAUUGUAUCAAUUUAGUCUUGAUUCUAAAAAAAAAUUUAACUCUCAACAUUUACACAUUGUAUAAUUUGGUCUCUCUUUUUGUAAUUUUGCUUUUCUUUGUGACAUUUAGUGUUAAUUUUAAAAGAAUAAGAAAAGAAAAAAAAUAUUAUCUUAGAUUUCUGGGUGCUCCUAUUUUUUAUAUAUUUUUAAUCAAAUUUAACUGAUAAAUUUAUUUUUAACUUUUUAAGUGAAAGGGUAAAGAAAAACAAAGUUGUACUAGAAAAAAGAAGAUCAAACUACCCAAUGUAUAAAUGUUGAUAGUUAAUUAUUUCUGGAAUCAAGAUUAAAUUGACAUAAUUUAUAAAUAUUGAGGGUUAAAGUUGAUAUUAUGCGAAUAUUAAAAGUUGCCACCGAUGAUCAGUAACCAAAAAAGACAAAACUGAAUAACUUAGUGAUCAUUUUGUAACUCUUCAUAAAUUUUAGUACAAAAUUAAGUGAAUGUUAACGUGUUUGAGGCAAAUCUCGAUGAACAUGUCAUGCAACGCAUAGCUAAAGGGGUAGAUAAGAGCUUUAGACCUCUUUUAGUUAAAUGGUAUCAUUAUGAUUAUAGUGCCUCUUAAAUGUCAAUUGUUUAAUUUAGUUCCUUUCUAGCUUUUAUUUAAAUGGAACAAUUGUAAUUUAGACCCUUUUCAAAUGUUUAAAUUUAAUUUCAGUUAUUUUAACGUAAAAUAUUUUAGCUUUGUCCCCUAUUUUUUUAAUUUUAUCUUGGCUCUUCAUCACAUAAUUCAUGACUGACAUAUAUGCCAUAGGUCAUAAGAUUGAGUCAAACUAUGCAAAAACUCUUUAGUUUCACCUGUUUGAGCACUUCAAGGCGUUCUCACUCUCUAAACCCACCAAGGAUCUAGACAAAGUCGGGAGACAAAACUCCGACUGGGGACAAUACUGGACUUGCUUAUAUCUGCUUUAUAGUUGUAUUUGUAGCAUACAAUGUAUAUUUUGUCAAAUUUGAAUACUUCUUGUUUGCUUGUCUAUUAUUCUUUUGAUAGAAGAUACAACUUUCUUUAUUUGUAUGUCCAUAUAAUUUGUUACAUUCGAUCUGUGAACCAUAUUUGACCUUCAUAUUGUCAACCAUGCCACUUGUUCAAUGGAAAAUUACCUUUGUUGAUUUGUUCUUGGUUGACAUUAAGUUCAAGGUUCGAAUCAGGAAAACCAAUCUCUCUCCCCUUAUUAUAUUUAUGUAUAUACAUGUAUUUGACCUUCAUGUUUGUUGGUGAGAAAAUGGUACAGAGUAAAUUGAAUUUUGCUUUUUGUUUGGUGUGUUUCCUAGGGAAAGCUUUAUGGAAGCCAACAAGAAUGGAAAUUUGGUUGAUGUUGAUCGGAAGGCGUUCGAAACUUGGAAAAAAUGAGCGAGGAGGUAUAGGUCCCUUGCUCCUCCCACUUUGUCAUAACUUUUCAUUGGAAGUUUUCUGUUGUAAUUUUGUAUUGAGUAUCGUCCCGAGUAUUUUCUUUAAUAGGAGAGGAAACCAUAUGUUACUCAGCCUACAUGAAGGAUAUGACUGAAGCGGAUAAAAAUAUUGUAAAGGUAACUGGGAUUCAGAGUUUAUGGAUGCUAAUUUCGUAUAAUUUAAACUUUCUAGAGCGACCUAAAUAUGUUGUUGGUGUAAUUGGUGAAAUUGUUUGUUGUGCUUUCAUAGCAAUGCUGAUACAUUCUGAAUAUUUGAUCAUGGAACUUGUUCCGUAGAUUCUUAAUUCAGAACUAUGAAUAGGGGCAUACUAAGGCAUACUAAAGAUGCAUGAUUUUGAACUCAUGAUCCUCUCAUCUUUACAUAAUCUAUGUUGCCACUCGGUUUUCUCCCUAUCGUUGUCAAUUAUUGUCAUCACAAUUGCUUUUCAAUGAUUUUUUCAGUUAGAAUUAGUAUCUUUUCCUUGUUUUGUCCACAAAAGCAAGAAUGAUAUAUGAUAGCUGUGAUUUAUCUGACAAUUAGCUUCUCUAAAUCUUUCACCCUAAUCAAUUGUCAAAAAUUUGCUGUUCUAGUGCUUAUUGGCUUCUCGUUUUUAACUUGAAAGUUAACUUAUCUAUUGUUCAAACAUCAAAAUGGAACAAAGUUUUGCAUCAUAUUCGAAGUUAUUAAUGAGUUAUUUUCUUUAGGUGGAUGAUGAGGCUGAUUCAGCAAUGGUUGGGAAAUUUGAUGAGGUUUGUAUAUAUGUUUGGAGCACAAAAAACAUAGCAAAUAUAGAUAAAUUUACGUAUUGUAUAUCUACUUGUGCUUAAACUAAGUCAUUCCCCUGCCAGUUGAGGCUCUGAAACCUUUGGGCACUGAAGUUCGAGUUUCACUAUGUAAAUCAUGUGUUGGUUCUCCCCCAGAUUUAUUUUGUUUACUUAGUUAGAGUUGAGUUAGCUUCAGUGAAUGUAACGAUUGAUUAUGUUAGUUCCCCCCUCUUUUGCCACCUCUUCUUCGUUGAAUUUACAGUUCUAUGAAGAUUAUGGGUACUAUGAAACAUCUGAUGAUGAUGGUGAACCAUACCACUCUGGAGGAUUCAAGAGCUUAAACACAACUGAACAGUAAUCGAAGUCUUCCCCACAUUUCAGUUCAAUUACCUAACUUAACCGCAAUCAUAUAUUGUGCACAAGACCGAUAAGUUAUGGCUUUCAUGAAGCAGGGAAACUGCUAUCGAGGGCGGAACUUGAAGAUGUUCUGGUUUUUGUUUCAUGUCAAUGGACCUUAUCCAACUGGCAAUGGUGGAAAAAAAAAGUUUGCCAUUUUGAUUCAUUUGUUAAGGCAAAUCAUUUGGCUAUUGUAAAGUAGUUAUAGGGGUUUUAGCCUUCGAAGCAGAUUGGUAUUUGUUUUGCUAUUUGGCAGUGGCAGUGGCAAUGGCAAUGGGGGUUUCACAGGUGAGUGGCAAGGGCUAUAGAGGAAGCAUCAUUUUGUCUAUAUUUUUUUAGUUUUAUGGAAUUUGGUUGAUGGAAUAGGUGAUAUGUUGGGUUGGAUAAAAUAAUCUAUAUUUUAUUGAAGUUAUGUUUGUUUUUAUCUGUUAGAAAAUUGAAGAAUGAUAUUAGAAAAUAUUUAGUCAAAUAAUUUGUAUUAAUAAUAGUUAAUUAUGCCUUUGUGGCUAAGCUCAUGGAAAUCAUUUAAAAAUAAAAUCUAAUAAAUAAUUAAACAUAUGAUUUAAAAUUAAUAAUAAUAACAAAGUAAUAUGUACGAAAUUUAAAUAGGUAAAUACAUUUGAUUAAGCUUUAUGUUCUGUUCUAAAUUUGGUUUCUUAAUACUUCUUCUGAAUAAGUUGGUGUCGAGUUGAUUCAUGAUACCAAUUUAGUCACAUGGUUAAAUAACUAUAUAGAUACAAAAGUUAAAUAUUUAAGAUGAUUGAUGCCUUCUGAACAUAACACCAUUUAAAUUUAUAUAAAUGUAUGAAAAUACGAAAAAUACUCAAUAACAAUAUUUAUUAAUAAUUUAAAUUUUGAUUUUUUUUAGUUUUCUUUUAUUCAAUUGGUGUCAAGUUAAAUCGUGACGCUGAUUCAGUUACAAUAUAUAGAAUAUGACGUGAGUGACAGACCAAUUUUAUUUAAAAUUUUAAUAUAAAAUAACAAUAAAGGUUUGAUUGAAACGGAAAAAUUAAAGAUUUAAGUUGCUUGAUGUCUUAUGUAAAGGUUUAAAUCGCAUCAUUUGCUUAUUUCCUUAAGUUUAAGUUGUUCCUUAUAACUUUUAUAAAAAUGUGUGAAAAUACAAAAACACCCUAUGAUAAUGUUUAUUAAUUGUUUAAAAUUUGAGUUUUUAGUACUUCUCUAAUUAAAUUAGUGUCGAGUUGAUUCGUAACAUCAACUCAAUCACACUUAAAUUAAAGUUUCCAUACAUAGAACACCAGGUGGGUGAGAGUGAUAGACGAGAUUUAUGAAAAAAAUUCAUGUAAAAUAACAAUGAAGUUUCGGUUAAAAUAAUAAAUUUAAUUUGUAAUAUUUAUAAUGAUAAAUUUACACAGAAUACUUGCCAUUUGCAUAUUUUUUAUAAGUUUAUUUUAUUUUUUAAAAUAAAGUUUAUAUAAAGGUAUGAAAUGCAAAACUACCUUAUAAUAAUAUUUAUUAAUCGUUAAAAUUUUGAUUUUUUUAAUACUUUGUCUAAUCGAGUUGGUGUCGAGUUAGUCAAUGAUAUAAUUUAGACAUAUAAUUAGACAACAGUGUAAAAGUGUAGAUACAUAGAUCACAAUGCGCGUGAUAAGCAAAUUUUAUGUAAAAAAAAACUCAUAUAAAUAUUAUAUUAAUAGAUGAGAACAUCUGUAUUUAAUAAUUAGACAACAGUGUAAAAAUGUAGACACAUAGAUUACAAUGGGCGUGAUAAGCAAAUUUUAUGUAAAAAAACUCAUAUAAAUAUUAUAUUAAUAGAUGAGAACAUCAGUAUUUAAAAAAAAAAAUCCAGAAAGCUGAUUGCAUACCAAGGCUUGGAACAUGGCAAUCAUGGUACACAAAAAAGCCAAAAAAAAUUUAGCAAUAAGAUUUCAUAAAGAUAUAAAUUGUUUACAACAGUAAAUUAACACAAGAAAAUAAAAAUAAAACAAAGUAGAAAACUAACCCCCACCCCCAAUUUGCCGUCCACAGUAGUUGUGACCUUAUUAUAUAAUCUUCAAUCCUUAAUAAUCUAUACUAUAUAUAUAGAACACAGACACUUAAAACAUGCAAUAAGCAAACCAUGAUAAUGACCCAAAUUUUAUGUGAAAAUAUUAAACCAAGCAAGCAUCAUAAGCAACAAUCCCAUCCAUGAUCUUGGCCACACUAUCUUUGGACUCCUUUAACACCUUGAUGCUGUUUUUAAGCUUCUCACGCUUUGCAACAAUGGCAGGAGAUUCCACCAGCAUCAUCUUUAUCCCAUGUCCAUCUGGUCCCAUCAGCUCCUUCACAAUCUCAUCAAUGUCAUUGUGUACAAGAUUAUGAACAUGGUAUCGUAAAUGCAAUGCCAUGGAAUCAACCAAUCUCACCUUAAAUACCUUCCAAUAAGCAACCAUUCUCAUCUUCAGGUCGAAAGCUUGUUGCAGGAUCGAAACAUCCGAGUGUUUUCUGAGAUGUUCGAUUUGGAUUUCCCCUAAACCUUCGAGAUCCACACUGCAAGGCAGCGGCCGCAUGUUUGUUCCAGAUAUUUGGUUCAUGAAAUGGUCUUGUUGCUUCAUGAGCUUAUUCCACUCCAUCAUGUAAUCAGGGUUACAUGUGUAGCCUGUUAGCUUCUCCAUUUCUACAAUCUCUUUCACCCUAUUGAUUGAUUGCUCCCUCAGCUUUUGAACAAGGUUGUGAGCAGCUCCUUUUGCGGAUACCUUGAGGUGAUAAUACAUUUCCGAGUGGCGCGUCAAAACAGACAUCACCACAUCGUCUAUGUAAUCCCAAUACUUUUCGCUGAGUUUGAUAGGGAGAUACGAUAUCCUCUCGACUUUUCUCCGUAAGAUACGAAGGAAUGCUUCACAGGGAAGGAAGUUCGGUAGUUCGAUCCCCCUAGCAUCUUCCAAACCCUUGAUCUCUUCUGUUAAAAAGUCUUUUGAUAGAUUACUUUCCUCGCAGUUGUGAAGCUCAUCGGAGAACCGGUUCAGCAUUUCAACAAACCGAGCAGUCCCGUGCUUCGUGUUGUCCUCGGGGUAUUCAUCAAAUUCCCCCCUCCAAAGAAGUUUCUUCAGGGAUUCUUUAGCUGCUUGAAUGAUCCUCAUCAUAGCUUGAGUGGCAUCAGCAAUAGAAGUUAAGGCCUUUGGCAUUUUCUCUAGCUCUGAAACAUUUGCAUCCAGCUUUGCACUAAUGUUUUUAACAAUCUCUGGCAAGCACUUUGCAAUCGCAUUAGCUUGAAUUCGGACAAGAUUUUGAGCCAAAACAUGAACCCCCACAAUUGAUUUAUCAAUACGUGACAAAUGUGCAUUAGUUUCGAACAAUCUAGCCUCUUCCUUCCUUGCCUCUUCAUAGGAUUCAUCACCAAUCCGAUUCCGAACACAAACAUAACCAAGUCCUAUAUUCACAUCAUCUGCAGUAACCUUGUCAACAAGCCCUUCGGGGGCCCUAUCUACUUUAGUAACCACGGCAAGAGUUCUCUCACCAUUCUUGUCCACUUGUUGCGACAUCCUAAUGGAUUCACAAGUUGAAAAAUCAACCGUAGCCGACAGAACAUUAAGGAUAAUGCUUUCCUUUGGUGUUAUGUACUGCAUGAUGAUGUCCCGGAUCUGCUCAUAUAUGUUGUCGGGCUGACCAUGGACAGGAACUCUGGUAAUUCCAGGAAGAUCAACCAUGGUAAGAUCAGGAACCCCAUCUUUUCUCACCACCAAAGUCAAAGGGAUGUCAGAUAUGCUCUUACCCGGGCCUGCAACCUCAUCCGUUGCAAUGUUUAUGGCUGUUGCAAUCUGGGGUUCCUCCACUGGGACCGUUUUGCCAUUGUACUCCAAGUAGAGCUCUGGCCUUGGACUUGCAUGGUUCUGCAACCUGAUUAUGAGAGGUACCCUGGUGCAAAUGCCCUGGCUACGAGGAAGGUUAACACCAGCCAAGGAUUCAAGAACACUAGACUUGCCUGAUGACUGGUCUCCAACCACAACAAUUGUGGGGAGCUGUAUGCCUUCUUUCAUCACCAUGAGCAGC